rnacentral:rRNA from 1 species
AGAGUUUGAUCCUGGCUCAGAACGAACGCUGGCGGCGUGCCUAACACAUGCAAGUCGAACGGUCCCGUUACUAACCACCGAGUAUAUACGUAAUUGCCUUGAGAUGAGGUAAAAGGUAUAUAUUGGGUGGUUAGUAACGGGAUAGUGGCGGACGGGUGAGUAACACGUAAGUAACCUACCCUUAAGCUGGGGACAACUCAGGGAAACUUGGGCUAAUACCCGAUAAGACCACGAACUGAGACGUUAGUGGUAAAAGGAGCAAUUCACUUAAGGAUGGGCUUGCGGCCUAUCAGGUAGUUGGUGAGGUAAUGGCCCACCAAGCCUAAGACGGGUAGCCGGACUGAGAGGUUGAACGGCCACACUGGAACUGAGAUACGGUCCAGACUCCUACGGGAGGCAGCAGUGGGGAAUCUUGCGCAAUGGGGGAAACCCUGACGCAGCGACGCCGCGUGGAGGAUGAAGGCCUUCGGGUUGUAAACUCCUUUUCUCAGGGAAAAUGGUGAUGGUACCUGAGGAAUAAGCCACGGCUAACUCUGUGCCAGCAGCCGCGGUAAGACAGAGGUGGCGAGCGUUGUUCGGAAUUACUGGGCUUAAAGGGCGAGUAGGCGGUAAGGCAAGUCCGAGGUGGAAUCCUAUGGCUUAACCAUAGAACGGCCUCGGAAACUGCUUUACUUGAGUCAGUGAGGGGAGGGCGGAAUUCCUGGUGUAGCGGUGAAAUGCGUAGAUAUCAGGAGGAAGGCCUGUGGCGAAGACGGCCCUCUGGCGCUGUACUGACGCUGAGGCGCGAAAGCGUGGGGAGCAAACAGGAUUAGAUACCCUGGUAGUCC